rnacentral:rRNA from 1 species
UUAAGUAGACCGCCUGGGGAGUACGGCCGCAAGGUUAAAACUCAAAUGAAUUGACGGGGGCCCGCACAAGCGGUGGAGCAUGUGGUUUAAUUCGAUGCAACGCGAAGAACCUUACCUGGUCUUGACAUCCACAGAAGAAUCCAGAGAUGGAUUUGUGCCUUCGGGAACUGUGAGACAGGUGCUGCAUGGCUGUCGUCAGCUCGUGUUGUGAAAUGUUGGGUUAAGUCCCGCAACGAGCGCAACCCUUAUCCUUUGUUGCCAGCGGUCCGGCCGGGAACUCAAAGGAGACUGCCAGUGAUAAACUGGAGGAAGGUGGGGAUGACGUCAAGUCAUCAUGGCCCUUACGACCAGGGCUACACACGUGCUACAAUGGCGCAUACAAAGAGAAGCGACCUCGCGAGAGCAAGCGGACCUCAUAAAGUGCGUCGUAGUCCGGAUUGGAGUCUGCAACUCGACUCCAUGAAGUCGGAAUCGCUAGUAAUCGUGGAUCAGAAUGCCACGGUGAAUACGUUCCCGGGCCUUGUACACACCGCCCGUCACACCAUGGGAGUGGGUUGCAAAAGAAGUAGGUAGCUUAACCUUCGGGAGGGCGCUUACCACUUUGUGAUUCAUGACUGGGGUGAAGUCGUAACAAGGUAACCGUAGGGGAACCUGCGGUUGGA